rnacentral:lncRNA from 1 species
AUGGCGGGCUGCCCAGCCCCUCAACCUCCUCCCGCGCCCGCUGCCCCGCUCCCUGGGAGACGGCUGCGAACCAAAAUGGUGGUGUUUUCGCGGAGGCGACAGUUGCCGCACACGCCCCCCCACCCCCCAGGCUCUGACGGCUCGCGAUCCCCUAAAAUGCCCGCUCCGGUACCACCUCGUCGCCAACGCCGCCAUCCCUCGCGCAUUCCAAGGUUACCCUCCGCGGCGGGCGGGCGCGAGGGAAAGGCAUAUGGGGGGGUCGCCGAGAGAAAAUGCCAGGGGGCCGCCGCAUUCUUCACUUCACCGUUUUGUUUUCCGCCAUUUUCCCGUCACCCUAAACCACCGACGGCCUCAACGACGGCUCUCGCCCCCAGGGGCUCCGGCCUAGGGGAAGGCGACGCGGCUGAGGGGGAAACACUCCCUUCCCUCAAGCCCUCCGGCACCCCGCCGCGGCUGAGGAGAAAAAUCGUGCGCCCGAGGGGGAGGGAAAGCUUAGGGACUAGACGCCACUUCCAUUGUUCCCUUCGCCCUACACUCCACGCUGGGUGUGAGCCUCUCCUCCCCUCCCACAGCGACACUGAGAGCGGCGGCCCCGAGCGCCUCCACUUUCUGCCCCGGAGUCGCCUUACCUGCCGCCGCCGCGGCUGCCGCCGCUGCCAGGGGGCCGCGCUCCGGAUUUUUGCUGGGGGCGGCAGCUGUGGGUCCGUAAGGUCCUCCUCGCAUUCGGGUUUCCGAGGUUCCGCAGCUCGAGCCAAUCACAAGCUACUCUGCGUCUGGGAGGCGCGCCGCCUCGUCCUCCUUUAUAGCGCGGCUGACAUGCUGAGGUUGCAUUACGUCACGCUACCCUUGCUGCAGGGUAGGGGGCCGCGGGGGGCCGCGCGCACGCGCGUGCCGGGCCGAGCAGCCCGCGCUGGGCUGGUGCUCCCAGACCCCGCGGACUCGCAGUGGGGGCUGCAGCGCCGGGCGAGUCCAAGUGCGCCAGCCUCGAUCUCCGAGCGCCCCUGA